UACGGAUUCGACAGGGGUAGUUCGAGCUUAGGUUGCGAGUCGAGGGGAUCGGCCUCGUUAAAACGUCAAAGCCUAUAACUGGCAAACAACAAAACAAUUUCGCUUUAGCUGCUUAAUAAGCGCUUAGCGGUUCGCCCCUCCAUUACCCGUGUGGUAGGGUAGCGGACUCAACUUUAGCGGGUUACGCCGGAUUCCACCGUCUGAGGAAGAAGGAAGAGAACAACCAGACUAGCGGCUUUAACGCCUGUCGAUAGGCAGAAAAGCUUAGCGAAACGCGAAUAUAUCGACUACACUCGUAGAAGCUUAAGUGCCGUUAUCUUUGGACGUGGGUUCGAUUA
rnacentral:tmRNA from 1 species